rnacentral:rRNA from 1 species
AUCGAACGCUGGCGGCAGGCUUAACACAUGCAAGUCGAGCGGGGAAGAGUAGCUUGCUACUUAACCUAGCGGCGGACGGGUGAGUAAUGCUUAGGAAUCUGCCUAUUAGUGGGGGACAACAUCUCGAAAGGGAUGCUAAUACCGCAUACGUCCUACGGGAGAAAGCAGGGGACCUUCGGGCCUUGCGCUAAUAGAUGAGCCUAAGUCGGAUGAGCUAGUUGGUGGGGUAAAGGCCUACCAAGGCGACGAUCUGUAGCGGGUCUGAGAGGAUGAUCCGCCACACUGGGACUGAGACACGGCCCAGACUCCUACGGGAGGCAGCAGUGGGGAAUAUUGGACAAUGGGGGGAACCCUGAUCCAGCCAUGCCGCGUGUGUGAAGAAGGCCUUUUGGUUGUAAAGCACUUUAAGCGAGGAGGAGGCUACCGAGAUUAAUACUCUUGGAUAGUGGACGUUACUCGCAGAAUAAGCACCGGCUAACUCUGUGCCAGCAGCCGCCGUAACAC